rnacentral:piRNA from 1 species
UAUUGAUAAGUGAGGUGUACUUC